UACAGAGGUCUCAAGCGUUGUUUCGGAUUCAUUGGGCGUAAAGGGUGCGUAGGUGGCGUCGUAAGUCGGGUGUGAAAUUUCGGAGCUUAACUCCGAAACUGCAUUCGAUACUGCGGUGCUUGAGGACUGGAGAGGAGACUGGAAUUUACGGUGUAGCAGUGAAAUGCGUAGAGAUCGUAAGGAAGACCAGUGGCGAAGGCGGGUCUCUGGACAGUUCCUGACACUGAGGCACGAAGGCCAGGGGAGCAAACGGG
rnacentral:rRNA from 1 species